ACGCUAGCUAUAGGCUUAACACAUGCAAGUCGAGGGGAAACGGCGUUAUGUGCUUGCACAUUUUGGACGUCGACCGGCGCACGGGUGAGUAUCGCGUAUCCAACCUGCCCUUUACUUGGGGAUACCCCGUUGAAAGACGGCCUAAUACCCGAUGUAAUUCAUUGAUGGCAUCAGAUAUGAAUAAAAGAUUUAUCGGUAAAGGAUGGGGAUGCGUCUGAUUAGCUUGUUGGUGAGGUAACGGCUCACCAAGGCAACGAUCAGUAGGGGUUCUGAGAGGAAGGUCCCCCACAUUGGAACUGAGACACGGUCCAAACUCCUACGGGAGGCAGCAGUGAGGAAUAUUGGUCAAUGGGCGCAAGCCUGAACCAGCCAAGUAGCGUGCAGGAAGACGGCCCUAUGGGUUGUAAACUGCUUUUAUACGAGAAUAAUUUGAUGCACGUGUGCGUUAUUGCAUGUAUCGUAUGAAUAAGGACCGGCUAAUUCCGUGCCAGCAGCCGCGGUAAUACGGAAGGUCCAGGCGUUAUCCGGAUUUAUUGGGUUUAAAGGGAGUGUAGGCGGUUUGUUAAGCGUGUUGUGAAAUUUAGGUGCUCAACAUUUAACUUGCAGCGCGAACUGUCAGACUUGAGUACACGCAACGUAUGCGGAAUUCAUGGUGUAGCGGUGAAAUGCUUAGAUAUCAUGAAGAACUCCGAUUGCGAAGGCAGCAUACGGGAGUGUAACUGACGCUUAAGCUCGAAGGUGCGGGUAUCGAACAGGAUUAGAUACCCUGGUAGUCCGCACAGUAAACGAUGGAUGCCCGCUGUUAGCGCCUGGCGUUAGCGGCUAAGCGAAAGCAUUAAGCAUCCCACCUGGGGAGUACGCCGGCAACGGUGAAACUCAAAGGAAUUGACGGGGGCCCGCACAAGCGGA
rnacentral:rRNA from 1 species